GUCAUAAAGAAACAAAAGAAAAGAGAAAUAGUUACAGAGAAAUAAGAAGAAAGAAAGAAGAAAGAAAAGAAAAGGAGAAACUAAGGAUUAAAAGCUUGGAGUUUAAUUGGGUGGAGAUUGCACCUUGGUUGGCAAUUGUGUUGCUGAUAUUGUGCAGGUGACCAUAAUACUCGGCACCCAACUAAUUUCUUAACGUAGCAAAAGACAACCGACGGUGUCUUUGUCAACCAUAGAAGCUGAGUAUCGUGCAAUGACAAUCACAACUCAACUGAGCAAUUGACAUUUACAGCUAUUGGAGGGCUCCCAUCAAAUAGUGGAAUUUUCAAACAUGGUGCAUUACCAUUUUAUUAGAAAGUCCAAGAAGAUAUUAAGUUAAAACAUGUUAAGACAUGCAGAUCAUCAUUUGAUGUAUUACACAAAGUAUUUAAAUAAUUUGCUACUGGGAUUACCUUCCUUCCUUGACUAACUUAACUUUUAUCAAAGAAUCCCACAUUGCUCAGGGAGUAA